AGAGUUUGAUCCUGGCUCAGGACGAACGCUGGCGGCGUGCCUAAUACAUGCAAGUAGAACGCUGAAGAGAGGAGCUUGCUCUUCUUGGAUGAGUUGCGAACGGGUGAGUAACGCGUAGGUAACCUGCCUUGUAGCGGGGGAUAACUAUUGGAAACGAUAGCUAAUACCGCAUAACAAUGGAUGACCCAUGUCAUUUAUUUGAAAGGGGCAAAUGCUCCACUACAAGAUGGACCUGCGUUGUAUUAGCUAGUAGGUGAGGUAACGGCUCACCUAGGCGACGAUACAUAGCCGACCUGAGAGGGUGAUCGGCCACACUGGGACUGAGACACGGCCCAGACUCCUACGGGAGGCAGCAGUAGGGAAUCUUCGGCAAUGGGGGCAACCCUGACCGAGCAACGCCGCGUGAGUGAAGAAGGUUUUCGGAUCGUAAAGCUCUGUUGUAAGUCAAGAACGAGUGUGAGAGUGGAAAGUUCACACUGUGACGGUAGCUUACCAGAAAGGGACGGCUAACUACGUGCCAGCAGCCGCGGUAAUACGUAGGUCCCGAGCGUUGUCCGGAUUUAUUGGGCGUAAAGCGAGCGCAGGCGGUUUGAUAAGUCUGAAGUUAAAGGCUGUGGCUCAACCAUAGUUCGCUUUGGAAACUGUCAAACUUGAGUGCAGAAGGGGAGAGUGGAAUUCCAUGUGUAGCGGUGAAAUGCGUAGAUAUAUGGAGGAACACCGGUGGCGAAAGCGGCUCUCUGGUCUGUAACUGACGCUGAGGCUCGAAAGCGUGGGGAGCGAACAGGAUUAGAUACCCUGGUAGUCCACGCCGUAAACGAUGAGUGCUAGGUGUUGGAUCCUUUCCGGGAUUCAGUGCCGCAGCUAACGCAUUAAGCACUCCGCCUGGGGAGUACGACCGCAAGGUUGAAACUCAAAGGAAUUGACGGGGGCCCGCACAAGCGGUGGAGCAUGUGGUUUAAUUCGAAGCAACGCGAAGAACCUUACCAGGUCUUGACAUCCCGAUGCUAUUUCUAGAGAUAGAAAGUUACUUCGGUACAUCGGUGACAGGUGGUGCAUGGUUGUCGUCAGCUCGUGUCGUGGGAUGUUGGGUUAAGUCCCGCAACGAGCGCAACCCUUAUAUUCAGUAGCCAGCGAGUAAGGUCGGGCACUCUGGAGAGACUGCCAGGGACAACCUGGAGGAAGGUGGGGAUGACGUCAAAUCAUCAUGCCCCUUAUGACUUGGGCUACACACGUGCUACAAUGGCGUAAACAAAGGGAAGCGAACCUGUGAGGGUGGGCAAAUCCCAAAAAUAACGUCUCAGUUCGGAUUGUAGUCUGCAACUCGACUACAUGAAGCUGGAAUCACUAGUAAUCGCGAAUCAGCAUGUCGCGGUGAAUACGUUCCCGGGUCUUGUACACACCGCCCGUCACACCAUGGGAGUCGGUAACGCCCGAAGUCAGUGACCCAACCGUAAGGAGGGAGCUGCCGAAGGCGGGACUGGUAACUGGGGUGAAG
rnacentral:rRNA from 1 species